GCGUCCUUAGUACAGUGGUUAGUACACUUGACAUGGAUAUAAGUGGCGUGGGUUUGGCUCCCACAGGACACA
rnacentral:tRNA from 1 species